rnacentral:pre_miRNA from 1 species
UCUCAUGGAUGGGCAAAGAAAGUGGUUUCUAGAGAUGGAAUCUAAUCCUGGUGAGGAUGCUAUGAA